rnacentral:lncRNA from 1 species
GUUGUUUUCGAUGAUGGAGCUUACGAAUCGAUAAUUCAUUCCGUUAAAUAUGAUUUAGAUUAUUUAAAAUUUCUAAAAAAUAAAUAUCGUAAUUUUUCGAAAUCAUAAUAUAAUCUAUCAAGCGGGCAUAAAAUGAACGGUCAAAAUCAAACGACAUCCUCAAAAUGGAUGAUCGGAUCCUUCAAUUUGAGAUCGGAGUUGUUGAUCUUUAUCCAGGUAGUGAAUAAAAUUUUCUAUCAAAAAUUCAAUCUAUUCCAAUUCUUUUACACCGCUAAAUUAGCAAGUAUCUUAUACCGGCCGUUAAAAAUUGUCAAUUUUCUGACAUUUUGAUCGUAAGGUAAUUGAUGUCGAAAAAUUAUAAAAUUCGAUUUCUAGAAAUUUUAAAUAAUCUAAAUAAUAUUUAACGGUAUGGAUCAUCGAUUUGGAAGCUUUAUCAUUGAAAACGACUUAUGAGUAUGAGAGCAAUCAUACUCAUAAGAGUAUAUAUAGUAGCCAGACGUACUCUUUCUACAUAUAUAUAUAUAUAUAUAUAGAGAGAGAGAGAGAGAGAGGGGGAUGCAAACAGAUCCGGGUUGGAGGAGCUCCCGCCCCGAUCCACCCUGACGGGGGCAGUAUAUGAGAGAAAAUACACGGAUUCGGGGCGGGAAACAAGGUAAAUUUUACGAUCUGAGACGGAUUCGGGGCAGGAAACGGGAGAAAUUUUGACCCGCCUCGAAUCCGCCCCGCCAUGAUCCGCCCCGAAUCCGCCCCGAAAAUUAUUUAUAUUUUAAAAAAAUAUUCCUAAAAAAUAAUGUAUUUACAAAAAAAUUAAAAAUACAAAUAAGUUAGUACUCUCAUUUCUAAUGUAUUUGAAAAUUUUGAAUUUUGUUUUGAAUUUUGAUUGAUAUUUUUUAUUUUUAUAAUUGAUAUUGUUAAAUUAUAUAUAUAAUAUUAUUAAAAAUUAUUAUAUAAUAUUUUAUAAAAUAUUAAUAAUAUUAUAAUUUUAUAAAAAAUAUUAAUUGGCGGGGCGGAUUCGGCGCGCCGGCGGGAGGCGGGUUACAAGGCGGGGCGGAUUCUGGGAUGUAUUUUUUAAUCCGUCACGGAUUCGGUGCAAGAGGCGUGGCGGGAUUUUGCUAGUCGGGGCAGGAGGCGGUGCGGGGCUCCCGCCCCCAGAUCCGCCCCGUUUGCAUCUGUAGUGUUUCGGAGCUUUGGAUAGGAUUGACUUCAGUAUUAGUAAUUGGUCGACACAUCUGGAGAGUGUCGGACUGAGUCGGAGUCGUUUCUGCGCGAAAUGGAUGCAGAAAUGGACUCAAC